AAAGCGUUCACAAAGAGCAAUAUCCUGAACAUUCACGGAAGAAAAAAAAAACAAAUCAGUUGAAGGAGAAUUCGCAACACUUUGUGAGGCCUCCGGACAACUCAAUUUUCGUGGGACCUUUAUGAAAUUCUGAACUCUACAAACUAAAGUCUGGAAAACUUCGCAUGC